UAAAAAAUUUAAUUUAAAUUUAUUUUACAUGUAAAUUUUAGUGUUAAUUUUUAAUUAUUUUAAUAAUAAUUAUUAAUAUUUGCAGUAAUUAGAAUUAAAAAUUUAAGAAAUUAAGAUUUAGUAAUAUUUUAAUUAUUAACAAAUUUUGUGCCAGCAGUUGCGGUUAUACAAAAAAUAAUUUAAAUUUUAUCGGUAUAUAAUAAAUAAUUUUUAUUUAAAUUAAAUAUUAAAUUAUUAAGUGAAAUUUUAAUUUAAUUAAAAUUUAUAUUAAUUUUAUGAUUUAUUAAAUUUUAUAAAAAACUAGGAUUAGAUACCCUAUUAUUAAAAAUUAAAUUUAUAAUACUAAAAUAGUAGGUAAUAAUUUAUUGAAACUUAAAUAAUUUGGCGGUAUUUUAGUUCAUUUAGAGGAAUCUGUUUAAUAAUUGAUAAUCCACGAAUAAAUUUACUUAAUUUAUUAUUUUGUAUAUCGUUGUUAAAAAAAUAUUUUUUAAUAAAAAUAAUAUUUAAAAAUUUUUAUAUAAAAUUAAUUCAGAUCAAGAUGCAGAUUAUAAUUAAGAAUAUAAUGGAUUACAAUAAAUAAAUUUAAAUGAAUAAUAUUUUUUAAUAAAUAUUUGAAGGUGGAUUUAAAUGUAAUUUUAAUUAAUUUAUUAAAAUGAUUAUAUAUUAAAAUAUGUACAUAUUGCCCGUCGCUUUCAUUAAUAAAUUGGAAUAAGUCGUAACAAAGUAGAGGUACUGGAAAGUGUUUCUAGAAAGAA
rnacentral:ncRNA from 1 species